UCGAAACAAGGGAAGCUUGCUCUUGCAUCAUAUUCCCUUACCCGCUUCCCCCUUUAUGCUUCUCUCUCUCAGGGGUCUCUCUUCUCUUCUCUCUCACGGGUCUCUCUUCUCUCUCUGGCCAUCUAGCUCUAUUCUCUUCUCUCUCUCCAAUAAUCUCUCUCGCUGUCUCUCUUCUCUGUCCGGCUCUUUCUUCUCUUCUCCCUCGAUGUCUCUCUUCUCUUUAUCCUCUUUUUGUUUGUGAUUAGGAUUUGUUUUACAUACUAACAGUUGUUUUUGGCUUGCUUUGUAAGUGGAGUGUGUUGAUUCUCUGAAGCAGCUAAAGGAGAAUAAGAAUUUGAUUCGCAUCUUCAUUCUGCUUUUGCAGGAAUGAUAUUGAAGUAGAAGCACUAGUGAUGAAUUGAGAAGAAUACCAGCUAGCACUACCUUCCCUUCCCAAAUGGCCUGAAGGAUUGCUAAUAGCAUACAUGUGUAAGUGACACAAAUUGGGGGAGGAGCCCCUGCUGAAAUUUAACCAUUGAGUGUGUGACAUUUUAAUAUAUCAGUCCACACAGU